CGGACCAGGGGAGACACCCCUCGCUGCAGACUGUAGCGCGGUGACAUCACGUACUGACGUCAGGUAUGUUCUACGUAUCGUAUGUCUUUAAUGCGCAUGUACAAAAUAUUUCACUUUAAUCAGUAGGUGGCGGUAAUGCGCCUAAAAGUUUAAUGCCAACCUUAAUAAUACAGCGAAGAAGUUGUUUUUCUCGUCUGCAAUUCAGGAUUAGCGUUUUCUCGAAAGGGAUAAAUUCGAUUGCGAUGCAUGUUUAUGGAUACUGGAAGGCGUUACUUACAGAAAACAGUCACCAAGUACAGUCCAGCUAAGCCAGGAAACCGGACCAGAGAAUGAAUUGAUGCCAUGUGUUUGAACCACAGUGCUCAGGAGGAAGGCUUCCUUACUUGAGGACUGCUUCAGGAUGUAGAAGGAACAAUGUCACCUGAGAUCCUGUGGCAGAUCAUGAUGGGAGUAGUCAAGGUUGAUGGCGAUGUGGCUGUCUUGAGGCUUGCAUUCAAAUGCUAGAUGUUUAGGGACAUUGUCAGUUAGCCCAAAUUUAAAGAACAGGCUCACUUUUUGUGGCUUGACAGUCAUGAGAACUGGAUUGUGUUCUACAGACAACAGUUUUUGAUGCCCUACUGUCUGACUCAAUGCUUCCACUGUGGAGAAAUCUUCAAAGACUGUCCACCUGGCAAUGUUGGGAAAAAAAUAUUUACACAAGUUACAUAAUAAUAUACAAGCAUAUAUUUGACAUGACUUUAAUUCUCCUAUUCAUUAAAACUUGUAAGUAUACAAGUACUGUAUAGGUUUUUUCUUUAUUUCACUUGAUAGUACUUGAUGCUAGUAUCGCAUCCCUAAGUUGAUGUUUCGAAUUAAAGUGCAGUUCACCUCACAGAUCUUUCAUAUUA